CUUCGGCGGAUGCUCGGGCGUCGCCGCGCGCAACUGCUCGAGGCCAUAGUGCUUGAAGCCUGGCUCGUCGAGCGCCAUCCACGGCUCGCCGCCGUCGGGCGGCGUCUCGCGCCCGGUGACGAUCACCGUGCAGCCAUGACGCUCGGCGAGCGAGCGCGCGCACAACAGGCCGAUGCCGCGCGCGCCGCCCGAGAACAGCACGGUGUCGCCCGCGCCGAGCGUGGUGCGCGCGUCGACGGCGUGCGGCGGCAGUUCGUUGCGCUUCGCGUGCAACGUGUAGCGCACGCCGCCGCGAUAGCCGACUUCGAACAGCCCCCAGCGAUAGAGCUCGUUGACGACGAGCCGAUCGACGCGGCCCGUCUCGUCGGGCGCGAUGUCGAGCACGCGCACGUUGCAGUUCGGCAGCUCCUGCGGCAGCGUCUUCGCGAGCCCGGCCCACAGGCCGCCGAGCGGCUGCGCGCCGGCGGUCUCGCCGUAGCCCAUCUGCCCGUCCAUCCACGUGAGCGCGACAUAGAAGAGCCGCGAUGUGUCGUCCUCCGCCGCCCAGUCGCCGUAGCAUGCCUUGAGCAGCUCGACGGUGCGGCGCAUCGGCGCCUCCCACGCGCCCGCGUCGUCGAGCGCGAACGGCGCCUCGAGCCCGAGAUCGACGAUGCCGUCGAGCGGCCCCGCCUCGUUGACGAACACCCGCGCCGCUUCCGCGUGAUCGGCGCUCGCCGCGGGCGCGAACACCGACACUUUCGCGCAGGUUCGCGCGAGCGCCGCCGCGACCCGCUCGGCCGUGCCGCCGCGCCCGUUGACGAGCGCGAUUCGCCUGCCGCUCAGCGCGGGCGACGGCUCGUCGGGCACCGGAUCGACGGGCACGGGCCGCCAUGUGAAGCGCCAUGCGGGCACGCCGCGGGCGCUCGCGUCGGCGUCGACGGCCGGCGACGCCGGGGCGGGCGCCGCCGCGAGCGGCAGCGGCGCGGCCUCGGCCGGAUCGCGCGGCGGGCAAGGCUCGCCCGCGGCGGCGGCGGCCGCGCCGCCUCGAUGCGCGGCGUCGAGCGCGCCCGCCUCCACCGCGGCAAGCGCGGCGGCGCUCGCGCCCGGCUCGCGCGCCGCCGUCAUCGGACACGCGGCGCCCGCCGUCGUCGCCGUAUCGCCGAGCGGGCGCAGCGCGCGCGCGGACUCAUGUUCGCGCACGCGCGCGAGAUGGCUCUGCUGCCGCUCGCGCGGCUUCACGAUCAGACGGAUGCCGUGCACCGGCCGCAGCGAGAUCGUCGCGCCGAGCUCGAUCGGGUGGCCGGGCAGCGCGUUCAGAUCGAAGUGCUGCGCGACCACCGCGACGAGCACGCGCAUCUGCAGGAGCGCGGUCUGAAAGCCGAUGCACUUGCGCAUCCCGCCGCCGAACGGGAAAUAGACGAAGCGGUGGCGCGCCGGCGCGUCGCUCGCGAAGUUCUCCGGGUCGAACGCGUCC
rnacentral:rRNA from 1 species